rnacentral:rRNA from 1 species
AGCGAACGCUGGCGGCAGGCCUAACACAUGCAAGUCGAACGAACUCUUCGGAGUUAGUGGCGGACGGGUGAGUAACACGUGGGAACGUGCCUUUUGGUUCGGAAUAACUCAGGGAAACUUGUGCUAAUACCGAAUGUGCCCUUCGGGGGAAAGAUUUAUCGCCAUUAGAGCGGCCCGCGCCUGAUUAGCUAGUUGGUGAGGUAACGGCUCACCAAGGCGACGAUCAGUAGCUGGUCUGAGAGGAUGACCAGCCACACUGGGACUGAGACACGGCCCAGACUCCUACGGGAGGCAGCAGUGGGAAUCUUGCGCAAUGGGCGAAAGCCUGACGCAGCCAUGCCGCGUGAAUGAUGAAGGUCUUAGGAUUGUAAAAUUCUUUCACCGGGGACGAUAAUGACGGUACCCGGAGAAGAAGCCCCGGCUAACUUCGUG